CGGCUCUGUGACCUCUUGUUCACAAGACCUCAGCCAGAUGGUUGCAUCGCAGUUUGGGUAGUAGUUGACCCUUCCAUCGUCUUCGACCGUUGGCCCUGUUGGAAUGGAAUAAUGCCAAUGUCAACACAAAGAAGGGUCGUCUCUGUUGUAACCAUUUACGAAGUUUCCCCAGGAGAAUUUAGCCGAAAAAUAUAAUAAAAACAAAGCAUUAUCUUUUCUCGUUGUUGUAAAACUAAUCUCUUCUAAAAUCAAGAAGAAGCACAUUUUCACACAGAAGCGAACUUGCGACCACCGCUUCGCCCUGGAGAUGGACGAGGAGUCCUCGAAGGUGUACCGGGAGGCGCGCUUCUGCAAGCUCUCCUACACCUUCAUCUCCUCCUGGUGCAUGAUGCUCCUCUUCGCUACUGUGGC